rnacentral:rRNA from 2 species
AUGGGCGCAAGCCUGAUGCAGCCAUGCCGCGUGUGUGAAGAAGGCCUUCGGGUUGUCAAGCACUUUCAGUCGUGAGGAAGGUAGUGUAGUUAAUAGCUGCAUUAUUUGACGUUAGCGACAGAAGAAGCACCGGCUAACUCCGUGCCAGCAGCCGCGGUAAUACGGAGGGUGCGAGCGUUAAUCGGAAUUACUGGGCGUAAAGCGCAUGCAGGUGGUUUGUUAAGUCAGAUGUGAAAGCCCGGGGCUCAACCUCGGAAUAGCAUUUGAAACUGGCAGACUAGAGUACUGUAGAGGGGGGUAGAAUUUCAGGUGUAGCGGUGAAAUGCGUAGAGAUCUGAAGGAAUACCGGUGGCGAAGGCGGCCCCCUGGACAGAUACUGACACUCAGAUGCGAAAGCGUGGGGAGCAAACAGGAUUAGAUACCCUGGUAGUCCACGCCGUAAACGAUGUCCUACUUGGAGGUUGUGGCCUUGAGCCGUGGCUUUCGGAGCUAACGCGUUAAGUAGACCGCCUGG